CACGUAGGGGCGAGCGUUGUCCGGAAUUACUGGGCGUAAAGGGCGCGCAGGCUGUUAUGCGAGUCUGCUGUGAAAUGUACCGGCUCAACCGGUGCCUUGCGGCGGAUACUGCAUAGCUGGAGUACUGGAGAGGGAAGUGGAAUUCCCGGUGCAGCGGUGAAAUGCGUAGAUAUCGGGAGGAACACCGGUGGCGAAGGCGGCUUUCUGGCCAGUUACUGACGCUCAUGCGCGAAAGCUGGGGUAGCGAACCGGAUUAGAUA
rnacentral:rRNA from 1 species